rnacentral:rRNA from 1 species
AACGUAGGACGCAAGCGUUAUCCGGAGUUACUGGGCGUAAAGCGCGGGCAGGCGGUCUUGCCAGUCUGAUGUGAAAUCUCUCAGCUCAACUGGGAGCAGCCAUUGGAAACUACAAGACUGGAGUCUGACAGAGGUAGGCGGAAUUCCGGGUGGAGUGGUGAAAUGCGUAGAGAUCCGGAGGAACACCAGAGGCGAAGGCGGCCUGCUGGGUCAGUACUGACGCUGAGCCGCGAAAGCCAGGGGAGCGAACGGG